rnacentral:rRNA from 1 species
AUUGAACGCUGGCGGCAGGCCUAACACAUGCAAGUCGAACGAGUGGCGGACGGGUGAGUAAUGUCUGGGAAACUGCCUGAUGGAGGGGGAUAACUACUGGAAACGGUAGCUAAUACCGCAUACCAUCGGAUGUGCCCAGAUGGGAUUAGCUAGUAGGUGGGGUAACGGCGCACCUAGGCGACGAUCCCUAGCUGGUCUGAGAGGAUGACCAGCCACACUGGAACGUCGAAACGGUGAAGGCUCAUACGGUAGUAAGCAGGGGGGAAGAGGGCAAAAUGGGCGCAAGCCUGAUGCAGCAAUGCCGCUUGUAUGAAGAAGGCCGUCGGGUUGUAAAGUUCUGUCAGCGUAGAGGCGUUACCCGCAGAAGAAGCACCUGCUAACUCCGUGCCAGCAGCCGCGGUAAUAC